AUAACGAUAACAGCUGUUUGAUUCCACUUGCCAGCUAUGAGAUCGAAGAACUCUGGAAUCACUUGGGUACUACAGGCAUAAAUGAGGGCAAAAUUUAAACUUUUAUUUUCUGUAAUGUGAUAAUUACAUAUUGAGGGGAAAAUGGUGCAGACUUUGCAAUAAAUUAUUGCUCAACAUAAUCUCCUAUUUCUAAUGAUUUAGUUUAUAUUAUUUUCUGUAUUUGCACUUAUUCUCUAUUGGUUAUUUCCUAGGUGUAUCUCAAGAAGGACAGAAAAUUAAGCAAAAGAAUAGCGUACACUCUGGAUUUUCUUCCUCUAUACAGACUACAGUGACUGAAGUGUUGAAUCCACUCGUAGAACCAGCUUACUGUUUUGCCCAGCUCCCAAGGUUUCACUCCUCUGAGGAAUGUAAUUGA
rnacentral:lncRNA from 1 species